UCACCCCUCAAGCCCCCGGCUUGGUGUUGGACUCAGUCGUCGCUCGCCCGGUGACUGGUCUCGAAGACAGUGACGCCGUCCCAGAGGGAACCGGUACGAGGAGCUUUCUUUAAUCGAAGCAUGUGCCGGGAAGACUUUCGCGGGCGGUGGUCUCUUGCACCCACAAAUUUUCAAG
rnacentral:misc_RNA from 1 species